GAUGAACGCUGGCGGCGUGCCUAAUACAUGCAAGUCGAGCGAACGGACGAGAAGCUUGCUUCUCUGAUGUUAGCGGCGGACGGGUGAGUAACACGUGGAUAACCUACCUAUAAGACUGGGAUAACUUCGGGAAACCGGAGCUAAUACCGGAUAAUAUUUUGAACCGCAUGGUUCAAAAGUGAAAGACGGUCUUGCUGUCACUUAUAGAUGGAUCCGCGCUGCAUUAGCUAGUUGGUAAGGUAACGGCUUACCAAGGCAACGAUGCAUAGCCGACCUGAGAGGGUGAUCGGCCGCACUGGAACUGAGACACGGUCCAGACUCCUACGGGAGGCAGCAGUAGGGAAUCUUCCGCAAUGGGCGAAAGCCUGACGGAGCAACGCCGCGUGAGUGAUGAAGGUCUUCGGAUCGUAAAACUCUGUUAUUAGGGAAGAACAUAUGUGUAAGGAACUGUGCACAUCUUGACGGUACCUAAUCAGAAAGCCACGGCUAACUACGUG
rnacentral:rRNA from 1 species